CGCCGCGUUGCCCCUACGAACACCUGACGCUGGCUCGAGCUCUGGGAGUGUGGCGGGGGCGCCCCUCGCAGCUUUGGGUGACCCUCGCCCCGGUGGGUUGUCCUGGGGGAGACGGGAGGGGUGUCUCCUGGAUGUGGUUGCCGGGAUCUUUCGUUCACCCGUGGACACAAGAGUCACCUUGGGACCCAGUUUGUGCAGAGAAUUUAGGGUUGACCUCCGGGUGAACCGGGCCCCGCGGUGGCUCGCUGUGGGUGUGCGGGUCCCUCCCUCCUUGGAGGGGGGCUGUGGGGCGGAGGAAGGCGUUUAUCUUUGCUUGGAGACGCUCCCGGAGUGCGGGAGCCCAGCCGGUUGUCACCCGCCCAGCGUCUGCGCCUCCCAUCUCCGGGGCCAGCGCCGCUCCCGCACGACUGUUUUCGGGAAUGGGAGCCGCGCGGAGUUGCUGGAGGGUCCCCAGGUCCAGCCUGAGCAAGACCCCCUUCCCCCGUCGGGCGAGGAGCGGGGUGAGGGCUCUGCCCGGCUGCGCCGCGGGGCCGGCCGGUGGCUGGAAUGCUGCAGACGCGCUCGGGCUUCCGGGAGAGCUUAUCUCGCCGUCUCGCCUGUCGGGAAGGCUAACUCCCCGGGCUCGCGGAUCAACUUUGUGAAAGUAGUGGGCUGAGCAAAAGAACCAGACCCGGAGUCCAUGGGGGGCCGGGAGGAGAGGCUGUGCCGAAUGGGGGUUGGUGAGGGGAGUUUCCCGCCCCGGUUGGCAUUGGGAGUUUCUUCUGGUUCAUAUGCCCCAUGAGGGCAUUGACCUCGCUGGGCUAAACCGGCCCUUGGCCAGGACUCGAGGCCCAAUACUCAGUUUCCUGAAGACCCUUGGCCUUACCUGUCCAGCGGGGACCUGCACGGAUGGCACCCUGCAGGGGAUGACCCGGACCUGAGUGGGAGCCGUGGAGCAGGGGUAGUGGAUGGAAGAUGUUACCUUUCUCCUGGGGUGAAAGAUACCAUAAAGGAGGUUGGACGAGGAGCAACAUUCAAUCUACAGCAGCCCCCCACCCCCACCCCAUGCUUUGUGCCUGUCUGGUUGUCUCAUUCUUCUGGCCUCAGUUUCCCGUAUGUAAAAUGGGAACAAACCCGUCGUCAUCCAUCUUUCCUGCCCUGAACUGUUGGAAGGUUGAAAGCAUUGGAAAACACGAAGCCAUCUGCUUGUGGCUCCCUUUUUGUCCCCAAAUCAGUAGACAUUCGAAGAUGAGCAUGUCGGUGCCUGCUGGCAGCCAGACCGACUAGCAGACUGGGGACCACUGCAAGGGGGAGGCUGAGUCAGCAGGUUGGUUUCUUCCAGGGCUUUGUUUAGAGGGGAAGAAGGCAGGCGAGUAUGAUAGUAAAGAACCGAGCUGC